rnacentral:rRNA from 1 species
GACGAACGCUGGCGGCGUGCCUAAUACAUGCAAGUCGAACGCAUUUUCUUUCACCGUAGCUUGCUACACCGACAGAAAAUGAGUGGCGAACGGGUGAGUAACACGUGGGUAACCUGCCCAUCAGCGGGGGAUAACACUUGGAAACAGGUGCUAAUACCGCAUAAUUCCAUUUACCGCAUGGUAAAUGGAUGAAAGGCGCUUUUGCGUCACUGAUGGAUGGACCCGCGGUGCAUUAGCUAGUUGGUGGGGUAACGGCCUACCAAGGCUGCGAUGCAUAGCCGACCUGAGAGGGUGAUCGGCCACACUGGGACUGAGACACGGCCCAGACUCCUACGGGAGGCAGCAGUAGGGAAUCUUCGGCAAUAGACGCAAGUCUGACCGAGCAACGCCGCGUGAGUGAAGAAGGUUUUCGGAUCGUAAAACUCUGUUGUUAGGGAAGAACAAGGAUGAGAGUGGAAAGUUCAUCCCUUGACGGUAUCUAACCAGAAAGCCACGGCUAACUACGUG